AAACCAAAGCUGGCGACCGGCGCACGGGUGAGUAACACGUAUCCAACCUGCCUCAUACUCGGGGAUAGCCUUUCGAAAGAAAGAUUAAUAUCCGAUAGCAUAUAUUUCCCGCAUGGGUUUUAUAUUAAAGAAAUUCGGUAUGAGAUGGGGAUGCGUUCCAUUAGUUUGUUGGGGGGUAACGGCCCACCAAGACUACGAUGGAUAGGGGUUCUGAGAGGAAGGUCCCCCACAUUGGAACUGAGACACGGACCAA
rnacentral:rRNA from 1 species